CUACGGGCGGCUGCAGUGGGGAAUAUUGCACAAUGGGGGAAACCCUGAUGCAGCAACGCCGCGUGGAGGAUGACACAUUUCGGUGCGUAAACUCCUUUUAUAUAGGAAGAUAAUGACGGUACUAUAUGAAUAAGCGCCGGCUAACUCCGUGCCAGCAGCCGCGGUAAUACGGAGGGCGCAAGCGUUACUCGGAAUCACUGGGCGUAAAGAGCGUGUAGGCGGAUAGAUAAGUCAGGAGUGAAAUCCUAUGGCUCAACCAUAGAACUGCUCUUGAAACUGUCAAUCUAGAGUAUGGGAGAGGUAGAUGGAAUUUCUGGUGUAGGGGUAAAAUCCGUAGAGAUCAGAAGGAAUACCGAUUGCGAAGGCGAUCUACUGGAACAUAACUGACGCUGAGACGCGAAAGCGUGGGGAGCAAACAGGAUUAGAUACCCCGGUAGUC
rnacentral:rRNA from 1 species